rnacentral:rRNA from 1 species
GUCCACGCCGUAAACGAUGGGCACUAGGUGUGGGAGGUGUCGACUCCUCCCGUGCCGCAGCUAACGCAUUAAGUGCCCCGCCUGGGGAGUACGGCCGCAAGGCUAAAACUCAAAGGAAUUGACGGGGGCCCGCACAAGCAGCGGAGCAUGUGGUUUAAUUCGACGCAACGCGAAGAACCUUACCUGGGCUUGACAUGUCCGUGACCGGCGUGGAAACACGUCUUCCCUUCGGGGCACGGUCACAGGUGGUGCAUGGCUGUCGU